GUUGAGGCUUAGUGGUAGAGCAUUUGCCUGGCAUGUGUGAGGCCCUGGGUUCGAUCCUCGGCACAACA
rnacentral:tRNA from 1 species